CACUUUGCAUUGAGUGGUCGAUUGCAGUCAACGCAUAAUGCUGAGUCAAUGGGUGUCGGCCAGAUGAGUCGUCGUAAUAUAGUUGGAGAAUAGUAGUAUGUAGAUAGAGACAAUAGCGAUUGGAAGGACGUAGAAGAGUGAAUAAUAGAUCGGAUGCGGCCGUCACACAGCCUCUUCUAACUCCCACAGGACGGUAAGGGAUCGGGAAGUCGGGAGGAGAAGGAUAAAUGUAGAAAAGAAGGAGCAGAUCAAAAGAAUAGAUGAGUUAAAGACAAGAUGCAGAAUUCAGGAACGGCCGAGAAGGUGCACCCUGAUGGAUGGCAAAGUCUGGAUGAACCGGGGUGGCAGUAUAUCCGGGCGGCGGCGGGAUGGGCCACUCUUUCCCUCUUGACAAGAGGAACAGACGAGGAACGAGCUCGAUACGUAACCUGUAAUGGUACGUACCUGUCUGCGAAACUUGGUAACGAGCACGGGACGAUCCAGCCAGAACCAGACAGAUGAGUGGCCCACUUGUGCAGACCGCGACCCACUCCCACAGAGUUAUCGUUAUGCCGUUGUAUGUAUUGAGGGUAAUUCUUGAUUCUGGAGGGAGGCAAAGAGGCGAAAAGAAGCGAACAGAAACUGCCAACAAAUGGAAGUUUAACUACAGUUGGUAAGCCUGUAGAUCGAAUAACGCACGGUCAACAGCGAAUCGCGGCUUUACGGCACUGGACACUUGAAUCAGAUAACGACUAGAAUUUAUCUUGUUGCGACUGCGCCACUCCGGUCGGUCCUUGCCUUCCUUCUUGUUCUUCUUCUCUUAUUCAGCAGCGGACACGCCGAUGGCCGAUUUGCUGGACUGUAGCUACCAGAUGACUAUUUGUGAAACAGACCGAAGAGGUGUUUGGGUUUUUGGAGUAAUGCUUGCGCGGAAAGAGCUGGAUGCUUCCUCUAGAUGGGAGCGCUUUCGAGAUUCGUCACUUUCAACUUCCUCUGACUGCACGCUGGACAACGAUAAUAGAUCGACGAUAUUAUUAGACUUACGCAACGCAGCGGCGCAGUAGCAUAGACUCUAAAAUUAAGGGUCCUUGUCUUGCCUCGUCUUUGCUGACGACUAACAAAGAAAGCAGCGGUGAAGCGCUGCCCAAGCAACAGAGUUGUCCCUCUUCCCACUAUGGGCGGUCAAUUAUGAUGAGUUAGUACUAGUAGAAGUGUACUAGCAGUGUUGUUGCUGAUACUAAGUUUCAAGCACCGCAAUCGCUGAAUGUUCAAUGGAUAGUUGAAGGAUAGUGUGCUCCAGAUCUGUAUGCGUGUAACUGAAUGUAUGGCUGUUGGGGGGCUUGCAAUGGACCCCGCUGUGAGACGUGGGGAUCUAACACGAUAUGGUAGAGUAGUUUGUAAGGGACCACGCAACGAGUUUUUGAGAGAACUGAUGACGGAUGGGUAGUGUCGCUGAUUUGGCUAGUUUUGGCCCGUGUUAGAGAUUUGUUUGGGAUGACUGUAGAAAUGUAGUCGUCUAGAAAUAAGAUGACCUGCUAUGGACGGAUGGUCACAUAGAGAUAUGACAUAAGACCGUUUGUUGUUCCGCGGGUACAGGUACAGUUGCAGAUAUGAGAUCAUUCGAUAUGUUCUAACGUUGAACAGGACUCCAGGAAAUGAAGUGAGAUGAUACAAUCGAAUAUUAUAUGUGGUGAUCCUCUCUGAUCAACAGUCCUGCAGUUCUUCUAGCCUGGUAGAUCUUUUGGCCUGUUCACCCUUUUUACGCCGUUUCGUUUAAACAAUGCUACCACUCAUGAUGGACUGAUACUAAGCCGUGAAUCAUAAUGUAUCUAUGAGUGUCAGCUACAAUAGCACUGAUAGUCGAGAACAUUACCUUAGGAUUUCUACGCAGUAGGAAGUGAAGCGAGUCAUCCGACUCAGCCUGUUGGGGCAACCCGGGGAAUAUUCCAGGGUCCUAGGGUGAUUUAUCAGAUCGAAGAGCCAAAAUUAACAAGCCUCAAGGGGGAAGGUUGUGUGAUUGGAUGUUUAGACAUCGCCUUGUCUGAAUCAGCUUUGGAUUCAAUCAGCCCCAGGAAUCCAGGUCGUCCGUCAGGCGGCCAGGGCGAACGAGGAAUGCUCGUUUCGUCAUCCAGGUUGAGGCUGUUGAAGGCUUGUCUAGAAUAACCGGACAGCUAGUCAGGACUACCAUACAUGUUCAUGCGUCAUAGCUAGUCAUGGUCCUUCACAGUGUGUACUCCAUAGUUUGGUGUUGUUAGAAAAGACUGACAUACUGCUGAGCAAUAAAGCCAAAAGAGGGCAGUCUGUCCUGUUUGCUUUGUUUGUCUGCUCAGUUGGGUAGCGCUGUAUGUAACCAUACGGUAUUUGUACUGCAGAUUCUUGAGACAAUGCAACCAAUCAGUC
rnacentral:lncRNA from 1 species